AGAAAAAUAAUUAUAAUAAUAAUAAUAAUUGUUUAUUCAGUUGAAUAAAACGGACCAAAGCCCAAUAGAUACAGAUAGUACUGAUAGUAAAAUAGUACAGAUAGUCUAAGUACAAAUACAAAAGAAAUACAAAAUUGCAUGCAAUAAAAUAUAUAUUAUAUAUAAAGUUUACAAAAAUCUAAAAAAGAAAAAUAGUAUUAAAAUUGAUAGGCAAACCCAGCAUUACGUAUAAACAUUAUUCAUGUGAGAAUUUAAUAUCUCCCUUUGCGAAGAGAAGAAAAAAUCAACUCUCGUCGAAAGUUUAUUGCAUAGAGCCAUAGCCCUAGGAAUGGGCUGGAAUAUUAAAGGGGAUACAAUUUAAAAGAUCGGGAGCAUCGGUGACACCCAAAAACGAAGCACUGAAACAACCGUUGUAUUAUAUAUUUAUGAGCCUACGUUAAAUCAUUUCCUAUAUUUAACCA